rnacentral:rRNA from 1 species
AGUCGAGAGGGUUCGGCCCUCGGCUGACGGCUCAGUAACACGUGGAUAAUCUGCCCUUAGGUGGAGGAUACCCUCGGGAAACUGAGAAUAAUACUCCAUAGGUCUAGGAUGCUGGAAUGCACUUAGACUCAAAACUCCGGUGCCUAAGGAUGAGUCUGCGGACUAUCAGGUUGUAGUCAGGGUAAUGACCUGACUAGCCUACGACGGAUACGGGUUGUGAGAGCAAUAACCCGGAGAUGAUAUCUGAGACACGAUAUUAGGCCCUACGGGGCGCAGCAGGCGCGAAAACUUCACAAUGUGCGAAAGCACGAUGAGGGAAUCCCAAGUGCUUGCACGUAAGUGUAAGCUGUUUCUUUGUUUAAAACGCAUUGAGAGUAAGGGCUGGGUAGGACGGGUGCCAGCCGCCGCGGUAAUACCUGCAGCUCAAGUGGUGGCCGCUAUUAUUGGGCCUAAAACGUCCGUAGCCGGUUUUAUAAAUGCCUGGGUAAAUCGGGCCGCUCAACGGUUCGAAUUCCGGGUAGACUGUAAAAC